rnacentral:rRNA from 1 species
GAUGAACGCUAGCGGCAGGCUUAAUACAUGCAAGUUGAGGGGCAGCAUGAUAUACGCGAGUAUAUUGAUGGCGACCGGCGGACGGGUGAGUAAUAGGUAGGAGACCUACCUCAUACAGGGGGAUAGCAUAGAGAAAUCUGUGGUAAUACCCCAUGAGGUUAUAUGAAUAGAGGCAUAUAAUCAAAGCAUAAGCGAUUAUGCGGUAUGAGAGGGGCCUACUGACCAUUAGCUAGUUGGUGAGGUAAGGGCUCACCAAGGCGAAGAUGGUUAGGGGUUUUGAGAGAGAGACCCCCCACAUUGGAACUGAGAGACGGUCCAGACUCCUACGGGAGGCAGCAGUAGGGAAUAUUGGGCAAUGGGCGAAAGCCUGACCCAGCCAUGCCGCGUGAAGGAAGACGGCCUUUAAUGGGGUUGUAAACUUCUUUACUACGCGAAUAGAGGUUAGUACGAGAUACUAAUAGGAAGGUAGUGUAAGUAAAAAGCAACCGGCUAACUCCGU